UGUAGCUCCCACUGAAGGGACUUUUCCAUAUUAGUAAGGGGUUGCAAAUAGUUCUAGUUCUAGAUUAUUUUCCUACAAGUGAGACAGCCACAAUCCCUGGCACGUUGGGGUGGGCUGACCAAAGGGAGGCUUUUAUUAACUAUGACUUUUUCCUAAAGCAGAUGUCCAGUACUUCCUGGCCUCGAAGACCAUCCCUGUGCUGUUGGGAUCUUGGGGUUACACAUUUCACAGCUGUCCUGUCACUGAGGUGGAGCCAUGGAGUGUACUGCUACCUCAAAGGGAAGGUGUCUUUUUUUUUUUCUGGUGUGUGUGUGUGUGUGUGUGUAUGGAGGGUGUUAGCUGGGUUGGGGGAGAGAGGAAUGAGGAAGAGGAAGCCACUGAGGACACAGAAGCUGCUUCUGGAAGUGGGGGCUGGGACUCUGUGCAGGACACUGGUUCUGUUUGACUCGACCGUGGGUCUGAGAAGAUCCGGGGCCCUUAAUUCUAUAGACGGGUGUAAUCUCUGAGUGCUCACUGUCCUGUCUCGAGAGCCAUGCUGUCCACCCUUGGUCUCCCGCAAAGGGACUCUUCUGUGUCACACAGUCGCUGAGAGUCUGGGGUUACAGUCUCUCUUAACUUUGCAGAGAAACUGAAUUAUGGGGAUUUCAGAUCGAUGUCUUUGGUGAGAGACAGAUUGAGGUGCUGUGAGGAAGCUGCAUAAAGGCUGGCGAGGUGAAGAUGCCAGGCAUUGUCCUAGAAAGUGAUAUAGCCAUAAACAGAAGUGUGGGGUAUUUCAAGUCAGGAAUACCAGGUUUGAGACUUGGGGGUGGAUCUUGGGGGGAGAGAGUGGUCCAGGUCAGGAGUAGAGUAGAACAAAGUGAACAGUCCUGUCAUUGGAACUGCCUUACCCAUCUGUGACUCCCAGAGGGUUGUUGUCUUGGGAGUGGGAGGCAAUUUGUCAAGACUGUGUGUGCCUUUCUCCCGGGUACUGUAGCUCUCCUCACACGGCUGUUCAGUCAGCAGUUGCCCUGGAAUCAUUGUGGCCUUCCUUUCCAAGUCUUCCCUGGCCUGGGAGUGUGGAGGUGUAGGGGGAGCAAAGAGUGGAGAAGCUCAGGUUGCUGUGGAUGUUGUCUGAUGCCUUUUGAACAAUAGGUUGAUUGAGGGGUAGUGAAGCAAUGUCUCAUUUAGAGAAACAGCAUUGUUUGCAUUUCCUCCCGUGUUUUUUUUCUCUCUCUUUUUCAGCCCCCAAGAGCACAAGCAGCCCUCUUCGAUUUCUGCUCUGAUGCCAUUGUGUGCUGUUGGAGGAAAUCCAGGCACUAGGACCACCCUGAACAUUUCUGAGGGGAAAAGGAAUCCUAUCUUGCUCUCUCCCCUGCUCAGCAACCAUGGUUGACCUCUUUGAUGCACUCCCAUUCCAUUGCUAUUGCCUUGACCCUUUGGUAUAAAAUUAAUUCCUGCUUUAAAUCCCCAGUCUUUCCUACUCAUUGUCACUGAAGUAACUGCCAGUACUUAAUACAGUGGUCUGUACUGAGGAAGUACUGAAGAAAGACUCCGGUGACCCCCACCCCUCCCAAGCCCCUGGACUUGCCCUGUCCCCAAACCUUCCUCACCUACCCUACAUUAUGCUAAGUGUUGUUCUCUGUCACACCUGUCUGAGUUCCAAAUAUACAAUGCCUGGCAGUGCACAGGUUGGGGUGGGAUGACCAAGAAAAAAUAUUUACUCACUAUUACUUUCUCUACAGCAGGUGCCCAAUACAGGGAUCGUAUCUGUGCCAUUUUGGAUCAUGGGAUCAAACCUCAGACCUGUCCUGCCAUUGCGAUGGAUCUGUAGGCUGGACUCUGACCUCAAAGGGAAGCCCCCUAGGAGGACCGACAGAUUCUCUCCACUCGUGUCCUUAUGCUGCAGAGUGCUGUUGGUGGGAUUCUGGGCACUAGGAUCAUCUCAACUCUGAUAGCAGCAGGUGCCAUUGCAUUUCCUGGCCUCGAGGACCGUACCUGUUAGGUUUCAGCCCGUUGGAUCAAAUCUCAGAUGUGCCCUACCAGCGAGAUGGAGUUGAGCACCAGCAGACCACUUCUAUUUCUGCUCUGAUGCCAUGGAGUGCUGUUGGAGGAAAUCCUGGCACUAGGACCACCCUGACCAUUUCUGAGGGGAAAACAGGUGCUCAAUGAAUUUCUUGACCUUACGGAUUAUAUCUGUGCAUAUUUUGGAUCAUCGGCUCAAACCUCAGGCCUGUCCUGCCAUUGAGAUGGAUUUGGAGGCUGGACUCGCACCUCAAAGGGAAGUCUGUGUGUGUGUGUGUGUGUGUGUGUGUGUGUGUGUAUGUAUGUGAGUAAAAGGGGUUAGGGUUAAUGGGGCAGGGUGAGAGAGCAGAGACGAAGAGGAGGCCACUGUAGACACAGAAGUUGCUUCUGGAAAUGGGGACUGGGGCUCUGUGCAGGGAACUGGUUCUGUUUGACUCGACUGUGGAUCUGAGGAGACCCGGGGCCCUUAAUUCUAUAGACGGGUCUAACCUCUAGGUUCUCACAGUCCUGUCACCAGAAUCACUCCAUACAUCCUCGGCCUCCCACAAAGGGACUCUUCUGUGUCGGACAGUCGCUUCUGGGGAAGAGAGGUGGGAGGUGGUUUGGAGGGAGGCAGGGAAGUUGGUCUACAUGAUCAUCUUCUGAGAAACUGAAUUUUGGUGACUGGGGUGUGAGAUGGAUGUCAUUGGUGAGAGAAGGAGGUGCAGUGAGUAAGUCAUAGAAGGUGGAGAGCUGAAAAUGCAGAUGUUGUAUGAGGAACUGACUUUGCAAUGUACAGAGGUGGGGGUAUCUUUGGUUUUAGGAAUGUCAGCCCUAAUGGCCUGAUAAUUGGGGCUUGAGGGCUGGAAUGAGGGGUCCCAGUGGAAGAGUAGGUUAGAGUAGAGUCAACACGUGUCUGGGAACUGCCUUGGCACAGCUGUAGCUCCCACAGAAGACACUUAGCUAUAUCUGUGAGGAGUUGCUCCCAAGCGAGUGGGAUGCCACUGUCAAGACUAAGGGGAGGGGGUAUGGUGGGGUGUGUGUGUGUGUGUGUCCACCCCAUUCUUCUUUGGGGUUCUCUAGCUUCUUAGCUGGGUUUUGGUAGGGGAUAUAGAGCAGAUAGUCCUGGGUCCUGCAGACCUUCUCACACCCCUGUUCAGUCACCAGUUGCCUUGGAGACCUUUUGUCCUUUGUGUCCAGACCUUCCUUGGGCUGGGUGUAUGGCCAUCCAUUGGCAGGGGGAGGGAAAAGUGGAGAGGCCAGGGUCUGUGGCUAUCCUCCUAGGAAUUUUACAAAGCAGGAUGAUCUGGGAGUGGUGGAGGAAUGCCUCUUUCACAAAACGUGCAUUGUUUUCAUGUUCUUUUCAGCCCCCCAGGAGCCCCAUCAGAUCCUCUCCACUUGUGUCCUUAUACUGCAGAGUGCAAUUGGGGGGGAUCCUGGGCACUAGGACCAUCUCAACUCUGAAAGCAGUAGGUGCCAGUGCAUUUCCUGGCCUCGAGGACCAUACCUGUGCUGUUUUGGACCAUUGGAUCAAAUCUCAGACCUGCCCUACCAGCGAGAUGGAGUUGUGAGAGGAACUGCCACC